UACAGAGGGUGCAAGCGUUAAUCGGAAUUACUGGGCGUAAAGCGUGCGUAGACGGUUACAUAAGUCGGGUGUGAAAGCCCCGGGCUCAACCUGGGAAUUGCAUUCGAGACUGCGUAGCUAGGGUGCGGAAGAGGGAAGCGGAAUUUCCGGUGUAGCGGUGAAAUGCGUAGAGAUCGGGAGGAAGGCCGGUGGCGAAGGCGGCGCUCUGGAACAUUUCUGACGCUGAGGAGCGAAAGCGUGGGGAGCGAACAGG
rnacentral:rRNA from 1 species